rnacentral:ncRNA from 1 species
CUUAAAACUUUGAUGAGGAAUAGUAAGGAUAAAGUCUUUUACAGAGAGGAAAUCAUUUGGUGUGAGAUUUCUAAAGUCUUGUUUUGAACCCGCCUCGGAGUUCUGUACUGAAAUAAAGUACAGCGGCUUUCUUCCGUUAUAGAACUUAAGCUGGACGUAAUUACUGCGUCAAUUAGGGUGGUACCGCCGAUAUAGCCUCGGUCCCUUUU